UCUCUCUCUCUCUCCCACUCAUGCUGUCACUGUCUCUCUCAAAAUAAAUAAGCUUUAAAAAAAGUGUGGAGGAAGGAAGCAGAAGAGGAAGGUAGGGUGAUACUGCGUGAUAAGCUAUCCCUGUGUUUUGCUGCUCCAAGACGUGGAAGGAGGGCCAUGAGCCACAGAAUGUAGGCAGCCUCUAAAAGCUGGAAAGGCCGAAGAAAUGAGUUCUCCGUAGAGAGUCUCCAGAAAGGAACACAGCAAUACUGACAGCUUGACCGUGGCCUUCUGAGACAUAUUUCCAACUUCUGACCUCCAGAACGCAUCACUGGCACCCCCCCAGUCAUGGUAAUCCUCUGACUAAGUUCACACCGAGGACGUAUCAUAUCAACACCGAGUGGAGUUCUACGUGGUGCCCUAUUGACCCCAAAAACUGGGUAGUGGCUUGACUUUGUGAGGAUUUGUGCACUCUGCUUUGAGGAAACUCAUCAACUUAGUGCAUCCUGAGCUGAAGCUCGCCUCGCCACUCUGUAUGCACCAGACCUCCACACCCGAGGCUUAUCACAAGCAAUUAUCUUACCCAAAUAAAAAAUGAAAAUGGAAAAGUUAAAUAAAUAACAGGACAUCUUGAUGGAAUCGCAGUAAUGCUCAUCUUGGUUAACAUUAGCCCUGACUUUUGGACAGCUAGAUUUGUUAAUACGCUUGUCCUUUGUUUAGGCAUCUAUCUGGAAAUCUCGUGACUUUCCAAAAUGAUGGAUGGCAGCCAUCUCACCCUCUCCUAAAAAAAAAAAAAAAAAAAAAAAAAAAAAAAAUACAACACUCUCCAGGAAACUGGAAGAAGCGAAAUGGACACUGUAGACCUGACCUAAGCGUGGCUGAGAUCGGAGAAAACCGCAAAACUGAGCUCACCUAAAAAUUACCACUGUCUUCUCCACAGCGUGUUCAGUGUUCUGUUGUUCCAGGAUUCCUGCUCUGCAUUCCUGCACCAGUCAGGCCUCAGUGCACUUGAACUGGAAAACUGAAACCUGGGAUAGCCGUCAGGAUGGACCAGCUUGGGCUCUGGCACAAACCAUCCUAAGCCUCAGGGGUUUGACCCAGCAGACGUGUUUAUUCCUUCUUCAUGCAAAGCCCUGUAGGUGCUACUGGUUUGUCACGACAGUUGCCCUUGCAGAUCUCCAGCCUGGCAUCGCACGCUGCUUUGACCUCAGAGCACCUCCGUCCCACUGUGCCGUCUUCCUGUGGCCGCAACAAAGAGAAGACUGGAGAUUCAGGCACUGACGAGUACACGCUUUGGCAAGGAGGGGACACAGGCUGGCUCCCUUCACAUUUCCUUGGCUGAAACCGGUCCUGUGGUCAGCCCAACCACCAGAGGUUAGGAGAGCCCAGUGGGAAGCGCAGGAACAGUCCAUGUCACUGGACAUGAGCAAAGUCUAAUUCCUCAGGAACUUUGACCACUGACGGUUGUUUUUCUGUACUCGCCCUAAGUGUACUGGCAACUGAACUCAGGUGUCAGCCGUCUGGGGGUUCCUGGGUCCUAUAGACUUUGCAAGUUGCCCUUUCUAUAUAAAAAUAUAUGAAUUAUCAUUUUAAAAUUGACUAUUUUUAAGAGCGGUUUUAGGUUCAAUGUUGGGCAGCAAGUACAGAGACUUCCCAGAGACCCCCUGCUCUCCCCACGCCCUACAGCCUCCCCAACUAUCAACAUCCCCCACCCGAGUUGUACAUUUGUUAUAGCUGAUGGACCUACAUUGACACAUCAUUAUCACCCAAAGUCCAUAGUUCAUGUUAGAGUUCACUCUUGGUGUUGGACAUUUUAUGGGUUUGGACAAAUGUGUGAGGACAUGCAUCCAUCAUUAUGGUAACAUACAGAAUAGUUUCACUGCCCUGAAAAUCCUCUGUGCGCCAAUACACAGACGCACAGAAGAUUCCAGAGAACAGAGGAUUCCUCCUUCUGAUCUUCUUACUGCCUCUGUAGUUUUGCCUUUUCCAGAAUGUCAUGUAUUUGGAACCGUAUAGUAUGCAGCCUUUCCGGAUCAGCAUUCUCCAUGUCUUUUCAUGGCUUAAUAGCUCAUUUCUUUUGACCACGGAAUAAUAGUCCAUUGUUUAGAUGUGCCACAAUUUAUUUGUCCAUUCACCCACUGAAGGAAAUCUUGAUUGGUUCCAAG